rnacentral:tRNA from 1 species
GCGGGUAUAGUAUAAUGGCUAUUAUUCUUGGUUUCCACCCAAGCGAUGGGAUUUCAAUCAUCCCUAUCCGCUCCA